rnacentral:RNase_MRP_RNA from 1 species
CGUUAUCUACGCCCGCCACUCGUCGCCUCGGACGAGAAUUGCGACGGCUGGAUGCUGAUGCAUCCGACGCAGAGGCAAGCUCCUCUGCUGCUGCUGCUGCGUCGGCUGCGACCGACGACCUUACCAUCACUCACCCACUUCA